CGCGUUGCAGCCUCUUUCGCUACGGUCGGCGUGCCUUGACUUGGUGUAUGUAGUUUUCGUGUCGAUGUGACUGUUGGGCCCUCAUUUGUGAGCGGCCACGAUGCGGGCGGCGCGAGGCCACCGGCCGUCUGCAGCACAGGAGCCUGGUGAGGGCUAGCACCCAGGCCACAGCCAUGUAAAGCCCACCCCGUGUUGAGCGGAGACACCCGAGGAUCUCCACUGUCACGGAUGGUAACACCUGAACUCAUUGCUGUUUGGUGAUGGAAGACGUUCAGGUAUUGUUAAAGCAAAGUAGUAGUGGCUGAGAUCUUCCGGGCACCAUAAAGGGGAUCUUCGCAUGUUAAU